ACCUGGGCGCUUGCCACGACCCGAGAGCGUGCGAGGAUGGCUCGCCGCGGUGGAGAUAGGGCGCGGCCACAGUUAGAUCCAAAAACGCGUGGACCAGGGCGGCUAGGGCUUGGUUUCACCAUUUAGAUGCAAAGGGGAGUUCGCUGCGGUGCUAGGGAGUCUCAUAGGACGCGAUUGAGCAAGAAAUCCCGGAUUCUUCGGGAUUUUGAAGAUGCGGCUCGGGGCCGGUUGCUCCCCAACCGAGUCCUUGCCGGUUACGGCUAAAGGUAGGGGAAGGAGUGGGCGCUGCCAUGCGGGCCCCGGGUCUUAGCGGUUCAAAGAGAGAAAAGAGAGGGGAGGGACGCGGGCCGCGGGGAACGCUGGGCUGCGGGGUCUGCUGGGCCGGGGAAGGGGAAGUAUGCCGAGCGAGGGGAGAAAAGAAGCUGGCUAGGGGGGCUGGCUGGGUUUGCCUUUCUUUUUUUUUCCUUUUCUGUUUUCUUUUUAUUUUCUUUUUCAAAAAAACAUUUUCCAGAUAGAAUUCUGUGCACAAAUUAUUUCUAACCAAAAGCAAUCAAGCAAAACAUAAAAUAUGUGCCAGCAUGAAUGCACCAUCAAGGUUACUAAACCUAUGAUGUAUUUUAAUUUCCACAAAAUUAUUUAUUUGCUAGGUUCAAAUGCUCGCAUAAAUACUUAAAUAAAUCAAAUUAAUUCCUAUUAAUUGAAAUGAAUUUUUUUGGGUGUUACAAUAAAGCACUUAAAAAAUUGCUAUAAUAAUAAAAGGACUAAUAACAAUAAUAAUGAAUAAAAUUUUGGCUCUACGGUGUUCGAACUAGCAGUGCCCUUGUUUGUUUCCACCUUUGUUUCCUUUUGUUUGAAUAAAUAGGUACAAAAGUAUGGGGGAGAUCUCUUGAGCAUAACUAACACACAUUUGAGAUCUCCCCUUAACAAGUUGCACAAGCAGCGAACGAUCCAACACACAGGAAGGACAAUAGAUAGCUCUGGAGAUAGUUGGCUGAACCUCCACCAUCUUUGAUGCUUUGCGCACAACAACCCUCUACUCCCUACAGUUUUGAGUUUGAAGAAACAUAAAUCUAAACUCAAUCUAUCCUUGCUAUCUUCUCUUGAUGAAUAAUGCAACUAUGUUCUAUACUUCAUUUACAAAUUUUGAAGAGACAUAACAUGUUCAAAAGAGAAUCUUGCAUAAAGUUUGUUCCAUAUAAAUACACUUAUGCUUGUGGGAAAUAUUCUAAUAGGAUAAUCAUGUUAACUAAGUUGUUGUGAAGUGUGAUAUAGUUCUAACUUAGAAAUCCUACCAUUUCUAUUCGAAGUACUUGUGGAAUUUGUUUUGAUAAAAUAUAAAACCGUAGCAUCACAUACUCAACUAGUGAGCAUUUCCUACCAAACCCAAAUAUGACAUCUUGCAAUCUUUAAAUCCUUCGCAUAAGCUGCUUGUUAUUGUGUUGAGUUUGGCCAAGUCUUGUUCACCCUUGUUGAGAGAUUUAUCUUGCUCCUAAGAUCAAAGAUCAUGUACACUCCUUAAACACAUGCUGCUCCUACACUAGAGUAUGCAAAAACAUGCUUCCUUCCAUCCACUUUGAAAUGUUUUACACCUACACUGGGCUGAACACAAAAAAUAUGUUUGAUUGGUUUAUUCACCAAAUAAACGCUCAAAGUUCUUGCAAAUUUCUCCCUUGAAAAGUUUUGUUGUGGAAAAGAGACAUGGGGCUAUGCAAAAGAAAAGGUGAAAAAACAAAUAAAGAAAGAAAAAGUUACAAAAUACAGACAAAGAUGUCCAGAGUAUUGAAAACAAUGGGUACAAAAGAUGCCCGCCAAUAAAAAAGAAAAAAGGGAGAGAGAUAGCCUCUGCUCUUGCAAAUAUUUCAUGUUUUCAACAAGAGAGAUAUGUUUCAAUGAGCACAGUACAAUUAGGUUAGCUACCAAAUAUUCCAAAAACAUGCACAUCUUGAUCUAAAAGUAUCACACUUCUUUCCUUGGGUCCUUGAUUUGACUUUACAACAUAUGCAAUAUGAGUAUGCUAUACUAUUUAUCCCUACCUAAAGAUCCACUUAAAUCUUUUUAGAAGUAGGUGAAGGUUAAACAUUGCUAUGCCUUGUUAAGGAUUUGUGCACAUUGAGUGAUUUGAGAGUGCUAUUUGAGGAGUACAAAGUGAAUUAUGCUUUUUCUAGUUAAAAAACUUCCAAAACUCCAACUUGCUAAGAUGUGAAAUUGAGAAGUUGACUUUGUUGAACUAUUCCACUUUUCUACAACCCAAGGAAACAUGUUAGCUAAUGUUGAUGGUAGAUAACUCC
rnacentral:lncRNA from 1 species